rnacentral:rRNA from 1 species
GAGAUCGGGAUAACACCUGGAAACAGAUGCUAAUACCGGAUAACAACAGAUGAUGCCUAUCAACUGUUUAAAAGAUGGUUCUGCUAUCACUCUUGGAUGGACCUGCGAUGCAUUAGCUAGUUGGUAGGGUAACGGCCUACCAAGGCGAUGAUGCAUAGCCGAGUUGAGAGACUGAUCGGCCACAUUGGGGCUGAGACACGGCCCAAACUCCUACGGGAGGCAGCAGAG